AACGAACGCUGGCGGCGUGCCUAACACAUGCAAGUCGAGCGAGAAAGCUCCUUCGGGAGUGAGUAAAGCGGCGCACGGGUGAGUAACACGUAGGUAACCUACCCUCGAGCCUGGGAUAACCUACCGAAAGGUGGGCUAAUACCGGAUAUGACCACGGGAGCCACGGCUCCUGCGGUGAAAGAUGGCCUAAGCUUGCAAGCUAUCACUUGAGGAUGGGCCUGCGCACCAUAGCUAGUUGGCGGGGGUAAUGGCCCACCAAGGCUAUGAUGGUUAGCUGGUCUGAGAGGAUGGCCAGCCACACUGGGACUGAAACACGGCCCAGACUCCUACGGGAGGCAGCAGUGGGGGAUAUUGCGCAAUGGGCGAAAGCCUGACGCAGCGACGCCGCGUGGGUGA
rnacentral:rRNA from 1 species